AACGCGAAGAACCUUACCUGGGCUCGAAAUGUAGAGGACGUUAUAAGAGAUUAUAAUUCCCGAAAGGGUCUCUAUAUAGGUGCUGCAUGGCUGUCGUCAGCUCGUGCCGUGAGGUGUUUGGUUAAGUCCAGCAACGAGCGCAACCCUUAUCGUUAGUUGCCAACACGUAAUGGUGGGAACUCUAACGAGACUGCCUAGGUUAACUAGGAGGAAGGUGAGGAUGACGUCAAGUCCGCAUGGCCUUUAUGUCCAGGGCUACACACGUGCUACAAUGGUCGGUACAGAAGGCAGCGAAACCGUGAGGUGAAGCAAAUCCUACAAAACCGAUCUCAGUUCAGAUUGCAGUCUGCAACUCGGCUGCAUGAAGUUGGAAUUGCUAGUAAUGGCGUGUCAGCAACAACGCCGUGAAUACGUUCCCGGGCCUUGUA
rnacentral:rRNA from 1 species